UUGGGGAAACCAAGUUGCAUCAAGUUCAAGGAACAGGUCUCCACUUGCACGGUGUCUGUAGCAGAACCAGGACCAGAAUUUUUGAUCUUUGACUGUUGCUCUAGAUGCUCAACUACUUUGUACUCUGUGCUUUGUUUGGGUGGAAGGAGACUUGCCUGAAACCUGGCACGGAUCUCUACUGAUUAGAAGCUGCUACUCUGACAGUUAUUUAAUGUUUCAGAAGCAAGGAGCUGGUGGGAAAAACUCUGCCAUUUGGUACAGAAGAAGGUUUGUUCCUCCAUUAGUUAAGGAUUUUGUGGCACCUGGCUUGGAUUCAGCCAACCGGACAAAGAGGAAACAGACCUCACAUCUUGACCUUUCUCCUGCACCCAGAAACCUUGUGGAAAAGCAGUCUGGUGCUUUGUUGGAUAGCUCUAGGAUAUCUGGAAAUAUUGCGGCCCCAUCACUGCAGUCCAAAGACUGUCAUCAGUGGAGCCAACAGAAGGGAUCACAUUCCCUUAGGUGCUGGUAUGCUUCAGCCACAAUAUUUAUUUGUGGCUGGAGCAAGAGGAUUCACUGUUGUUGGACUGGAGUCUUUGUUGUGGUGAGCACUGCCAGAUACACUAAGCACUUUAAAUAUCUGAGCAGAUGCAUCCUGGAAGCUCUGCCACUGGUGUCAGUUGGGAAUCCUAUUCCUUACCUUACAAAAUCCAGACUUAAUUUAUUUACUGUCUCCGAGACUCAGCUGCCAGGUUACUGCAUUUCUAAAGAUUUGGUCUUUUCCCUUCAUCAGUUUAACUUCAUGAUAAUGCCAUUUCACAAAACACUGAUACAGUUUUGCCUUCGCUUUCCUCCUGCUUGUCUCUCUGUCAAACACCCUCACUCUCUCAUUUUGAGUCUCUCUUCUGUCUCAGCUUUUUCUUCAUUCUUGCUUUGUCCUGUCUCAUUAGGUAUCCCUCAACCUUUGCACUUUUCAGACCAUCAUUACUCACUUCAAAGACAUUACUGA
rnacentral:lncRNA from 1 species